rnacentral:misc_RNA from 1 species
GAACGCACCUUGCACCCUUUGGUAUUCCAAAGGGUACACCCGUUUGAGUGUCAUUGUAACCUCACAUCCAAAGCCUUUUUCCAAGGCCUCGGAAGGUGGAAAUUGGACGCAUGCGAGACUUUCUCGCUCGUCUCAAAAGAAUUCCGCAAUGUGCCCCAGCUUUGUGAGUCGGUGUGAUAGUUGUCUUCACCGCACAGAUGCAAUUUUGGUGGCCAAUGCCCUCGAAAGGUCCCCUCUGGGACAAUGACUUGACAAUUUGACCUCAAAUCGGGUGGGACUACCCGCUGAACUUAAG